CUAGCUUUGGGAGUUAGGGGUAGGAGUUAAAAUCUCCUUUCUUUGAUCAAAGAAUAGUUUAGUUUAGAAUC
rnacentral:tRNA from 1 species